CAGAUACACACUAAAGUACACGGUAAAAUACACCUAAGUUCCAUUUCACUUCAAAACAUCUUUAUUUAUAGAAUUUUUUACACACUUUACUAUUACACAAACGUUAUUUUAUUUA